GGGUGAGGUAGAGGCGCGAUUACUAAGAGUACCUAUAUUAAGGCCGGAAGCCAAUGAUGUAUAGGGAAAGGAGUUAUCGCCGAAGUGUCAGAUACCAAAAUCUGAGGCUGGGCCUGCAUCGAAUAGGUGUAGGACUGUCAUCAUUGUAUCUGCCCGAUACUUUGAUGUUGAGCUAUCUCACUA
rnacentral:ncRNA from 2 species